UGUAAAAUGGCAGAACUAAUGCCUAAGCUUUAAGCGCUUAUAAUGACUAUUUUAGUCUUUUACAA
rnacentral:tRNA from 1 species